UUAGGUUUCAACAUAUGAAUUCGGAGGGAAUGGGGGAGAUACACAAACAUUCAAACCACAGCACUCAAUUAAUUAAUUAUGUCAAGUUAUCACAGUUACUUGACUCAGGUGUUUUGGGGACUGCAGGCAGGGAGGAAGCAAGGCUUAGAAGAGUCAUCUACCACUCUCAAAAAUAAUAUUGCUCGUCAGGAAGAGGAAAGUUCUUCUGGGAAGCAUCUGGCUAAUCUUUUUGGAAAGGUUCUGAGGAAAUUCUUAAAGAGGACCGAUUAUGCAAUCCUGGCUACAAUGCUGCAGACGUUCCUGUAAGGGUUCCUGUGGUUUCUAACGUACAAAGACGGACAAUUCCUCAGAUGGCCUCAGGAGACUGCUUUUAGAUCUGCACUGGGCAGAACCCUCGGAUUAAUUAACAAGAACACAGACACAGUUCCUUGGGACAUCCUGAAGGGAAGGGAAGAAGAAAAGGACAGAGAUAAGGAUGAAGCCAGGGACCAGGAAGAAAUCAAGGCUGCCCUUCCUACAAUAUGAGUAUCUUUUUUCUAACUCCCGGAUCUUUGGUAGGUCUACUAAGCAGGGUGUGUGUGUGUGUGUGUGUGUGUGUGUGUGUGUGUGUGCGCACAUAUGCACCCAUAUUUGUCUUUUAAUAGAAACCAAUGGAAGAGAAAGGUUUAACGUUUAAAGCUUUAAAGGGCAAAACCGAAGACUACACAUUGAAGUAGAUGACAAAGACAGAUGAAAAGCCAUUCAACUGAUACAGAACUCUGGACUUAGGAAGAUCACAGGGAAACUGUCACAAGUAUUGAAAUUGGAGGUUCAAGACAAGUUUUUCUAAAAUUUCUAAGGAGCAAGUAUAGCCUAGCUGAAAUCUGGGAGAAAGUAAAAGAAAGUAGGGGAGAGAGAGACAGGGCAUUAGCUGAUAUAAUAUGGUAUUAUGUGGCAAUAAAAGCUGUAUUUUUCCCAUCUGAUAUGAACCUUAACAUGGUGAAACUAUAUGUUCCUCAAAGGCAGAAACAAUGGGUUUCAUCCUAUUCUAGUAUUAUAACUUUCACAAAGCUCACUUUAGAUAAAAGAAAUAGCCUUUGCAAAAUUAUCUUAGUAGAGCUUAAAAACAACAACAACAACAACAAAGAUUUUAUAUUCUAACCUUGUCUUAUUUUUACAUUUUCUCUACUGCAUUCAGGUUAAUAUAGGCACGGUCUCAAUAUUCAGGUAUUAAAACCAGGUCACAGAGAAUGACUUGAUUAAGAUGACAGUCACCAGUGCAAUGAGGAGUAGAAUCAGUCGCAGUCUCACACCUGUCAGGUAAUUACAUACUGACCCCAUUUUUACAAACUCAGCCAAAUGAAAGAAUGCAAACCAAUAAUAAAUGGUCACCAAACACUCACCAAUUCAACCUGCAAACUAUUAUCCUAUCUGCCUUUAAGAUUAAUCUGGCAAUUAAACAAAUCAAUCUGUAAAACAAAACAAAACAAAAACCUAGUGUAAAACACACACACACACACACACACACACACAUCCCAUCCGUAAAAAUUUAAAAAGACACAAAUACACGUUAUAUGUACACAUUUCUUUUUCUGCAGAGAAACCCAAGAAACUGCUAAUAAGGAUUACCUUUGGAUAGAGGAAAAACAAUGAGAAAGAAUGAAACCUUAUUUUUCAUUUCAUAACUUCCAUUUUUUUUUAACUUUUUGUAAAGACAGGGUCUCCCUUUGUUGCCCAGACUGGCCUCAAACCCAUGGCCUCAGGUGACCCUUCUGCUCUGGCCUCCCAAAGUGCUGGGAUUAUAAGCAUGAACCACCUCAUUUUAUACCUUUCACUUAUUGUAUUACUUUUUUUCAAUGAACAAUUUAAAUAUACAAUGACUAAUAAUUUGAUUUUGCUAAAAACCUAUUUUCCAGAAUUUCAGAAAAGUAGAAGGUACCAGACAUGUCAUGUCAGAAGAGCUCCCCUUCCUCCUCCUCCUCUUCCUCAGCCUACUCAACAUGAAGACCUUUCUGAAGAUCCACUUCCACUUACUGUAUAGUAAAUAUAUUUUCUCUUCCUUAUGAUUUUCUUAAUAACACUGUAUUUUCUCUUACUUCAUUGUACAAAUACACUAUAUAAUACAUAUAACAUACAAAAUAUGUGUUAAUUGACAGUGUAUGUUAUUGGUAAGCCUUCUGGUCAACAAUAGGCUAUUAGUAGUUAAGUUCUGGGGUAGUCAAUAGUUAUAUGCAGAGUUCUGACUCCACAAGAGGCUGGCACUCCCUAACCCCCAUGUUGUAACACCCAUGUUGUGUGCAAGGUCAACUGUAGACUACGACAGGAACACACUGCUCUUUCUCAUUCCCAAAGAUGCUGAGCCCCACACCUCCAGGAAGCAUGAUACUGACAAUGUAGGCAUAAAUCUCAGUCAAAUCAUUCAUUAAUAACAGCUCAGGAGUUCAGUAUAUUCAUCCCUGCCUAGAGACUGUGAUAUGCCCCUUGUUAUUCAAUUCUGUGUAUAGUCCAGUCUCAAGUUUUUUAUGUUUGAGACAGGGUCUCAGUCUGUCACCCAGUCUUGAGUGCAGUGGCGCAAUCACAACUCACUGCAGCCUUGACCUCCCAGGCUCAAACAAUCCUUUCACCUCAGCCUCCCCAGUAGCUGGGACUAUAGGCAUAUGUCACAACACCUGUCUAAUUUUUGUAUUUUUUGUACAGAUAGGGUUUCACCAUGUUGCCCUGUCUGGUCUCAAACUCCUGGGUUCAAGUGAUCCUCCCACCUCAGCCUCCUAAAGUGCUAGGAUUACAUGCAUGAGCCACCACACCUGGCCCCUUGAUACAUUUAUCCUUAUGGAAAAUGUAUUUUUUUACUAUAAAUAUAUAUAUGUAUUUUAAAAGGCAUAUAAUGAAAUCAUAGACAUCAGGUCAACCUUAGAUUUUUUUAAAAAUAUAAUCUAUAUAUAAAAUUUCUGAUUAUUAAUAUAAUACAUACUUGCUUUACAUAAUCUGUGUUUUAAAUAAACACAGUAAUUAUUUUCCUAUAGUUCUACCACUUGGAGAAAAAUCAUCAUUAACACUUUAGUAUGUUUCCUUCUAGGUUUUUAUUCCCCCAUAUAGUUAUUUUUUAAAGGUUAUAAUAUAUUAUGUCCUGAUAUUGUCACUUUUCAGGUUAUCAUUUUUCCAUUUCAUUAAAGAGUUAAAAAAAUCUAUAUAUAAGCAGAUAAACUCUUUUAUUGGCUGCAUAAUAGUCUGCCUUCUAGUUGCACUGUAUGAGCAUUCUUAUCUUACUUCUCCCACUGCCAGAAUUGGGAAUUACAGGGACAAAGGUCUGCAAUAUUCCUGAUGAACACAGAUGCAAAAAUCCUCAACAAAACACGAGCCCACUGAACUCAACAGCACAUCAAAAAGUUAAUCCAUUAUGAUCAAAUGGGUUUUAUAUCAGGCAUGCAAGGAUGGUUCAACAUACGCAAAUCAAUAAAUGUGAUACAUCAUCUAAACAAAAUCAAGGAUAAAAACCAUAUGAUCAUCUCAAUAGACACAGAAACAGCAUUUGAUAAAAUUCAACAUCCCUUCAUGAUAAAAACACUCAACAAACUAGGCACAGAAGGAACAUACCAUACAUGAGGAAAGGGCACCCUCUUCAAUAUACGGUGCUGGGAAAUUAAAUAGCUGAAUGUAGAUGAAUGAAACUGGAUCCCUGUCACCAUAUAUAAAUAUCAACUCGAGAUGAAUGAGUUACAUUUAUGUAUAGGUUAUUUAUAUGUGUGUCAUGUAUAUGUUUUUGAAUCUUCAAUAAUACAAUGUGCUAAAAUAAUAAACAUCAUGUACUAUAAACCCACAGCUAACAUCAUACUAAAUGAGGAAAAUUGAAAGCAUUUCCUCCAAAAACUGGAACAAGACAAGGAUGCCUACUUUCACCACUCCUAUUCAACACAGCACUGGAGGUCCUAGCCAGAGAAAUAAGGCAAGAGAAAGAAAUAAAAGACAUCCAAGAGAUCAAGCAUGAUCUCUGCUCACUGCAACCUCUGCCUCCCGGGUUCAAGUGAUUCUCCUGCCUCAGCCUCCUGAGUAGCUGAAAUUACAGGUGCGCGCCACCACGCUUGGCUAAUUUUUUUCUGUUUUCAGUAGGACGGGGUUUCACCAUGUUGGUCAGGCUGGUCUCAAACUCCUGACCUCGUGAUCUGCCCACCUUGGCCUCCCAAAGUGCUGGGAUUACAAGCGUGAGCCACUGUGCCUGGCCAAUAAUUUUUUUAUAUAAUACGGGUAUUAACUCUAUUUGUUUUUUGUUUGUUUGUUUGUUUUUGAGAUGGAGUUUUGCUCUUUCACCCAGGCUGGAGUGCAGUGAUGCAAUCUCGGCUCACUGCACCCUCCACCCUCCGGGUUCAAGCGACUCUCCUGCCUCAGCCUCUCGAUUAGCUGGGAUUAUAGGCACCUGCCACCAAGCCCGACUAAUUUUUGUAUUUUUAGUAGAGACAGGGUUUUGCCAUGUUGGCCAGGCUGGUCUCGAACUGCUAACCUCAGGUGAUCCACCUGCCUUGGCCUCCCAAAGUGCUGGGGUUACAGGCAUGAGCCACUGUGCCCGACCAACUCUGUUAUAUAUUGUAAUUAUAUACUAUGUCAUACAGUCAUGCACUGCAUAACAAUGUUUUAGUCAACGAUGGACCACAUAUAGCCCCAUUAGAUUACAUUGGAUCUGAAAAAUUCCUAUUGGCCUAGUGACGGCGUAGCCAUCAUAGCAUUGUAGCACAAUGCAUUCAUUACUCAAGUGUCUGUGCUGAUGCUGGUGUAAGCAAACUCACUGCACUGCCAGUGUUAGAAACAGCACUUACAAUUAUUUACAAUGCAUAAUAUUUGAAAAUGAUAAUAAAUUACUAUGUCACCAGUUUGUGUAUUUACUAUACUCUUAAUCCAUACUUUAGAGGGUAUUCCUACUUUUUUUUUUUUAAGCUAACUGUAAAAUAGCCUCAGGCAGUUCCUUCAGGAGGUAUUCCAGCAGAAGGCACUGUUAUCAUAGGAGAUGACAGCUCUAUGUGUGUUAUAGCCCCUGAAGACCUUCCAGUACAACAAGAUGUGGAGGUGAAAAGUGAUAUUGGUAAUCUCAACCCUGUGUAGACCUAGGCUAAAAUGUGUGUUUGUGUCUUAGUUUUUAACAAAAAAGUUUGAAAAUAAAUAAUUUUAAAAAUAGAAAAAAGCUUAUAGAAUAGGAAUAUAAAUAAAACAUAUUUGCACAGCUGUACAAUGUAUUUGUAUUUUAAGCUAAGUGUUAUCACAAAAGAAUCAAAAAGUUAAAAUUUAAAAGUUCAUAAAGUAAAAAAGUUAUAUAGUAAGCUAAGGUUAAUUUCAUAUUGAAGAAUAAAAAUUGUUAAUAGGCAAAGCACAGUGGAUAAAAAUUUUUAAUUUUUAAAACUUAAAAAUAGGCCUGUAAUCCCACCUAUUUCAGAGGCUGAGGUGGUUGGACUGCUUGAGCCCAGGAGUUCAACUCCAGCCUGGGCAACAUAGUGAGACCUUGUUUCUACAAAAAAAAAAAAAAAUUAAAAAUUAGCCGGGUAUGAUGGAAUGCACUUUUAAAAAAUUAAAAAUUAGCUGGGUGUGGUGAAAUGCACUUGUAGUCCCAGCUACUCGAUAGGCUGAAGCAGGAGGAUCACUUGACCCCAGGAGGUCAAGGCUUCAGUGAGCUGUGACAAUGCCACUGCACUCCAGCCUGGGUGACAGAGACCCUAGUCUCAAAAAAAAGGAAAUUUUAAAAUACAUGUGCAGCUUAAGUACACAGUGUUUACAAAGUUUACAGAAGAGUGCAAUAAUGUCCUCGGCCCUCACAUUCACUAAACAAUCACUGCCUCACCCAGAGCAACUUCCAGACCUGCAAGCUCCAUUCUAGGCAAUACCCCAUACAGGUGUACCACUUUUAAAUCUUUUAUACAGUAUUUCUACCAUACCUUUUCUAUGUUUAGAUACGUUUAGAUACACAAAUAUCUACCACUGUAUUACAAUUGCCUACAGUAUUCAGUACAGUCACAUGCUGUAAAGGUUUGUGGCCUAGGAGCCACGGGCUAUCAUAUGGCCUGGGUGUGUAGGAGGCUAUACCAUCUAGGUUUGUAGAAGUACACUCUAUAAUUUUCGCUCCCCAACAACAAUCACCUAGACACAUUUCUCAAUGUGUAUUCCUGUUAAGUGACAGAUGACUGUAUAUUACCAAUGUAAUUAUAUAUUAAUAAUGUAAUUACAUAUUAUAGAAAGAAAAAAAUUUGAAUACAUGACUUGAAUAUUUUCCCCAGGUGACUGCCUUUUUGUAACGUGAUAUAAGCAAAAUUAAAUUAUUUUAAUUUUUAGUAUCAUUACAUAUAGGAAUUAUUCCAUUUUAACAUUUGCGUCUAUGUUUUAGUAGCUUCUUUCUCCCAAGCCCAAGAUAGAUAUUCAUAUACACUCUUUUCUAGUAUAUGUAUUACUACAUUUUUACAUUCAUUAUUUGCAGUGGCACUUUUAUCAACACAACAUUCUUCUGAGCUUUCCAUUCUGCUCCAAAUAUUUGUCUAUUUUAUCAACAUCAUACCAUUUUCAAAUUAAUAUCUAGCAUUACAACUUUUCCUUCAUUAUUCUUCUUUACCGUAUAAACAUUUCUUGGCUCUUAUUCAUUCUAUAAAAAUGUAAAAUAAUUCAGAAUCACUGAUCUAUGAGAAAUUCCUGAGAUUUUUCUUGGAGUAAUAUUCAACUUACAAAUCAAUAUAAAAUAUUAAAACUAACUAAAGAAUUGUCUUCCUAUCCAGAAACAUAAGUCUCCUCAUUAUCUUCAGAGCAAAGUUUACUAGUUUCCUUUCUACAGGCCAACUGCAUUUCUUACCGAGUUUAAUCCCUGGCAUAUUUUUUGUUGCUACUAUGAAUGGGCUUUUUUCCUCAUACUUUUAAACCGGUUAUUAUUAUCAUACACAAAAGAUCAUAAUAUUUACAUGAUUUACAGUGGAACCCUACUAAACUACAUUUUAGUUGAUUGCCUUGGGAACUUUUUAUUAUCUGCAAAUAAUUUUUAGUCUCCUUUUCAAUAGUACUCUCUGUCACCCAGGGUGGAGCACAGUGGUGUAAUCCUCCCACCUCAGCCUCCGGAGUAGCUGGAACUACAGGUUGCAAUACUGUGCCCAGCUGAUUUAAAAAAUUUUUUUUUGUAGAGACAGGGUCUUGAACUCCUGAACUCAAGUGAUCCUCCUGCCUCAGCCUCCCAAAAUGCUGGGAUUACAGUUGUGAGCCACCAUGCCUGGCCCAUCAGUGCUAUUUUAGACACUACUGAUAACAGCAAGUAUGUUGCAAAUUCUAAUAUAAUUUUAGGUCAAAUUCACUGUUUUAGUAUUUUGGCUGAGCUUGAUCUCAAUGUUGUUUACAAAAUUAUAGAUACUUCCCUUAGAAAGUGCUAUAUAAAUAUUAGUCAUUGUUAUCAAUAUCACAGAGCAUGGUUUGGUGGAAAAAGUUUCUCUUGAUUUCACCGUGAAUCAGGAAACUAAUUUGGGUUUGAAAUUAUUGAGUCCUCUAAAGGUUAACCUGAUCACUUCUCCUCCGUGACCCAGGCUAGUUUAGGUAGGUAAACCUCACUCAUCUCUCCCUCCAUCAGAAGACUCACCUAUCAUACUGCUGUGUCAUUUUCUAUUUACUUGUCCCAGAGCCUGUAAAAACCAUGAUGGUAAGGUCUUUGUCUUGUUUAUUGUUUAAACCUACCUGGCAAAUAACAGAUCCUCAAUAAAUUAUAUAUUGACUAGAAAAAAAAAUUAUAGAUACUUCCCAUAAAAUAUUAACAGUAAAUAUCUCUAAACAUUGAGAGGAGUGAUGUUAUUUUCCUUCACAUUUUCCCAGUAAACAGACUUCUGAUUUUGUUUUUUUAUUAAUUAGACUAGCCAUGAACUCUCCCUAUUUAUUUUCCAAGUUUCCUUAAAUGAAUGGACACACAUAC